rnacentral:rRNA from 1 species
GCUUGCUACCUGACCUAGCGGCGGACGGGUGAGUAAUGCUUAGGAAUCUGCCUAUUAGUGGGGGACAACAUUCCGAAAGGAAUGCUAAUACCGCAUACGCCCUACGGGGGAAAGCAGGGGAUCUUCGGACCUUGCGCUAAUAGAUGAGCCUAAGUCAGAUUAGCUAGUUGGUGGGGUAAAGGCCUACCAAGGCGACGAUCUGUAGCGGGUCUGAGAGGAUGAUCCGCCACACUGGGACUGAGACACGGCCCAGACUCCUACGGGAGGCAGCAGUGGGGAAUAUUGGACAAUGGGCGAAAGCCUGAUCCAGCCAUGCCGCGUGUGUGAAGAAGGCCUUUUGGUUGUAAAGCACUUUAAGCGAGGAGGAGGCUACUUGGAUUAAUACUCUAGGACAGUGGACGUUACUCGCAGAAUAAGCACCGGCUAACUCUGUGCCAGCAGCCGCGGUAAUACAGAGGGUGCGAGCGUUAAUCGGAUUUACUGGGCGUAAAGCGUGCGUAGGCGGCUUUUUAAGUCGGAUGUGAAAUCCCUGAGCUUAACUUAGGAAUUGCAUUCGAUACUGGGAAGCUAGAGUAUGGGAGAGGAUGGUAGAAUUCCAGGUGUAGCGGUGAAAUGCGUAGAGAUCUGGAGGAAUACCGAUGGCGAAGGCAGCCAUCUGGCCUAAUACUGACGCUGAGGUACGAAAGCAUGGGGAGCAAACAGGAUUAGAUACCCUGGUAGUCCAUGCCGCAAACGAUGUCUACUAGCCGUUGGGGCCUUUGAGGCUUUAGUGGCGCAGCUAACGCGAUAAGUAGACCGCCUGGGGAGUACGGUCGCAAGACUAAAACUCAAAUGAAUUGACGGGGGCCCGCACAAGCGGUGGAGCAUGUGGUUUAAUUCGAUGCAACGCGAAGAACCUUACCUGGUCUUGACAUAGUAAGAACUUUCCAGAGAUGGAUUGGUGCCUUCGGGAACUUACAUACAGGUGCUGCAUGGCUGUCGUCAGCUCGUGUCGUGAGAUGUUGGGUUAAGUCCCGCAACGAGCGCAACCCUUUUCCUUAUUUGCCAGCGGGUUAAGCCGGGAACUUUAAGGAUACUGCCAGUGACAAACUGGAGGAAGGCGGGGACGACGUCAAGUCAUCAUGGCCCUUACGACCAGGGCUACACACGUGCUACAAUGGUCGGUACAAAGGGUUGCUACCUAGCGAUAGGAUGCUAAUCUCAAAAAGCCGAUCGUAGUCCGGAUUGGAGUCUGCAACUC